AGGAAAGGCCGUUCAAGUUGGGGCGCAGUUAGAGUUUAGUGUUUAUAGUCUUUAGUCUUUUAUUUAUAAAUUUAAAGAAACAGUAAAAGCUUCAAGAAUUUAGCUACCUUAAGAUGAAGGCAUCAAUUUGAAUUCCUGGCUAAGAAUGGAUUAUUAUUUCAUUUAAUUACAUAAGGUUGUUUUGAAGAUUAACCAAUAAAUUUUCGUUCGACAAUUCCUUUAUUCUGAUAGUAAAAGAUGGAAGACACAUCGAGUGCUUCAUCAGACAGUGAUAAUGCUCUCUUGUCUCCUAAAGACCGAUCGCGAAUCGGCUGCAGCGUGGCCAACGCAAACACCCGAAAUGCCUCGGCACGAGAUGAAUCUUCCUGAUUCGUCGACGAGAAGUCUUGUUACUAACAACGUAGAUUCUUCUUCUAUUAUGGUGUACAAAUUAGAUCCCCAAAAGUCAAUAUCAGAACUGGAACGAGAGGCAAAGAAUCUCGCCAUUCCCGAUGUAGUUGUGGAAUAUAUUAAAGAUUCUUACCACAGGCAAGAAGAUAAGGAAAAUGGCGUUACAAAUCCUGUUUUCGAACCUCAAGAUCUCAUUGUCGUAAGAACACCGUCUUCCGUUAGUUUAAGAGAUGAUAUCAAUACUGAAAAUGCAAUGGCAUUGUCUCCUUUAAACAAAGACACUCAGAGACUGUAUUACAGCCUUCCGAGGACGGUGAAGAAACUAGGGGAUGCAUCUGAUGCUCCUGUGCACAGCCAGCCGUCUAUUCCAAAGCUAAAGCCGGGACUUUUGACUGUUGUCGAUCCAUCAUUAUCUGCUUCUUCUUCUUCGUUAGGAUAUCCAAGGUCUGUUCCUCCUUCUCCUAAUUUCGGCUACAGGCCCUUGGAAAGCGCGAGACAUCAGCUGUCUACACCAUCAUCGCCCCCGUUCGAUAUACCGUAAAUGGGAACGAUAAAGAAAGGGAGUUGGAAAUGCUUGCACAGUUGCAGGCACAACUGGAACGGGAGAAAGCAACAGCAAGGAAAUUCGAAUUUAAUCCUGCUCCUGUUGAGGUAGAACGUAAACGGCAACGCCUUCAGUGUGCAACAGAUGUGUGCUCCACCAUGUUCCUGAUACCUGGCAUCUUCAUCGCCAUUGUGACACCUAUCUCUUUGAUCCCCAUGUUUCUGCUACCACUUUCUUACUACAUUCCUCUCAUCGCCGUCUUCAUACUGUCCGGCUGCGCAUCUGUCAUCUCGCUGGCCAUGUCCGGACUCGUCGGGAAUGUUGUCUGGCACUACGAUAGCGAGAAGAAGAGAUUGCGUCCUAGGCUUCACUGUGGUAAAGGACCGCUUCUUCACUUCUGGGGAAACGGAUUCUAUCCACCGAAAGACGACAAAAGACCUUUGACUCAAGAUAAGAUAGUUUGAUAGAUCAUGUACGAGAUUCUGUUGUAUUCGUUGGAAAGAAGUGAUUUUUAUAAAGGUGUGAGAGAAGACAUUUGUGUAAUUACAAUCAUAUUUCUUUUACUAUAAUUCGUUAUUAAUGUUUCUCAUUGUUAAAUUAUAAUACCAUACACAUUAUGUAAUAAUUAGUGUUAUAAGUUUGUUAUAAAUCGCAUAAGUUCUGAAAAUUCUUGAACAUCUUUUCGCAAUAUUAUAUUGAGAUCUGAUGAUUUGAAGGGAGUCCACUUUAUACGAUCCAGUUCACAUAACUGAUGACAGAGACUUAACUUGCAUUUUCAAAAACUGCUCACUAUCUUCUAAUUUCUUUGAUAUAUAUCGAUACAUAUAAUAUAAUUAGACAUAUAGGUAUACAAAACAAAAAUUUUGUGUGCUCAGCAGCUGAAAUGACUAGAUGAUAAGAAAACGUUAGAAAAACAGGUAAUGCAACAUAAUUCCUGUAAAUAAAACUUGAAAAGUAGCCUCAUACUUUGUGUUAAAAUCUGCAAGUAUGUUUACUUCUGGAUCUCAGAGUGGGAUUUCGGAUCUUAAAGUCUACUCCAACU